GGCCCGCACAAGCGGUGGAGUAUGUGGUUUAAUUCGAUGCAACGCGAAGAACCUUACCAGGGUUUGACAUCCUGCGAAUCUCUUGGAAACGAGAGAGUGCCUUCGGGAACGCAGUGACAGGUGGUGCAUGGCUGUCGUCAGCUCGUGUCGUGAGAUGUUGGGUUAAGUCCCGCAACGAGCGCAACCCACGUCUUUAGUUGCCAGCAUUUAGUUGGGCACUCUAGAGAGACUGCCGGUGAUAAACCGGAGAAGGUGUGGAUGACGUCAAGUCAUCAUGCCCCUUACAUCUGGGCUACACACGUACUACAAUGCUACGGACAAAGGGCUGCAAGUUCGCGAGGACAAGCAAAUCCCAUAAACGUGGCUCAGUUCAGA
rnacentral:rRNA from 1 species